UAUUGAACUGACACUACUCUGAAUGUGUCCCAGCUUGUCUGACCAUGGACGCUAACCAGGGUUGGGUCAGGUUAGUAGUUGGAUCAGAGACUGCCUAGCUAUACCAGGUAGCUUAGUAG
rnacentral:rRNA from 1 species